rnacentral:rRNA from 1 species
AUGGGGGUGAUGAUCGAACAGGCACCACUGUGCCCCUUUGGUGCCGACACCGAUUGGAAGAUAGACUGGUAUGAAUCCAUGCUAGGGUCACUAAGAAACAGGCAUGUCAAUGCUUGGCAAGUCGAACUUGUUGGGUACCCUCCCAUCGUGAAGAAGCUCAAGAUCUUCGUGACCACCAAAGCCAUCGGCAUGGCUGACCAGCUGCUGGGACCAGACUAUCAGAACAUGAUGAUGCUCACCAAUGGUGGUUCCGAAGAAGUGAACCAGGUGCCUGAACCUGUGGUUGAUGGAGCUGGUACUGAAGAUGCUUCUGCCACAAGUAGGACAAGGAGUUCAUUGUGCCACUGCCAGGAAAGGUGCGCGGUGCUAGGGCUCUGUCUCUGCCCUCGGUUGCGUCUUCUGUUGGCCCCGGUGUCGUGCGAUGGUGGUGAUGUUUGCAUCUCAUACAAAACAGCCCAAGGGGACAUGGAGUGCAGUGUCACCUUCCUCAUCCCCUCCCUUUCCCCUUGCUCUGGACACAGGAUCAUUUUGUUUGCUUUGCUCAGAGAGAAGAUGAGGGAGAUCCUCCACGUUCAGGGUGGGCAAUGUGGAGACCAGAUUGAUUCCAAGUUCUGGGAGGUGGCGUACGACGAGCAUGGCAUCAUCCUCACGGGGCGCUAUGUCGGCACCUCUGAUCUGCAGCUGGAGCGUGUCAAUGCGUACUACAAUGAGGCUUCGUAUAGUCGCUUUAUGCCCUGUGAUGUCCUUGUGGAUCUUGAGCAUGGUACUAUGGGCAGUGUCCAUCCAGGACCGUACAGGCAGAUCUUCUGCCCCGACAACUUUAUUUUUCGGCAGUCUGGUGCUGGUAACAACUGGGCCAAGUGUCAUUACACUGAGGGUGCUGAGCUCAUUGAUUCUGUUCUUGAUGUUGUCAGGAAGGAGGCUGAGAACUGUGCUGAGCUCAUUGAUUCCGUUCUUGAUGUUGUCAGGAAGGAGGUGUAG